rnacentral:rRNA from 1 species
AGCGAACGCUGGCGGCAGGCUUAACACAUGCAAGUCGAGCGGGCACUUUCGGGUGUCAGCGGCGGACGGGUGGGUAACGCGUGGGAACGUGCCCUCUGGUUCGGAAUAACUCAGGGAAACUUGAGCUAAUACCGGAUACUCCCCUUUGGGGAGAGGCCUGCUGCCGGAGGAUCGGGGGGCGUCUGAUUAGCUAGUUGGUGAGGUUACGGCUCACCAAGGCGACGAUCAGUAGCUGGUCUGAGAGGCUGAUCAGCCACACUGGGACUGAGACACGGACGAGAAUCCUACGGGAGGCAGCAGUGGGGAAUCUUGGCCUAUCGGGGCGGGGAUGAUCGAGCUAGGGCGGGUGAGUGCUGAAGGUGGUAGGGUAGUAAAGCUGGUUUAUCCGGGACGAUAAUGACGGUACCGGAGGAAUAAGCCCCGGCUAACUUCGUG